GACGAACGCUGGCGGCGUGCUUAACACAUGCAAGUCGAACGAUGAACCCGGAGCUUGCUCCGGUGGAUUAGUGGCGAACGGGUGAGUAACACGUGGGCAACCUGCCCCUAACUUUGGGAUAACUACUCGAAAGAGUAGCUAAUACCGGAUAUGAAGUCUGUAGGCAUCUACGGAUUUGGAAAGUUUUUCGGUUAGGGAUGGGCCCGCGGCCUAUCUGCUUGUUGGUGAGGUAGUGGCUCACCAAGGCGACGACGGGUAGCCGGCCUGAGAGGGCAACCGGCCAGACUGGGACUGAGACACGGCCCAGACUCCUACGGGAGGCAGCAGUGGGGAAUAUUGCGCAAUGGGCGAAAGCCUGACGCAGCAACGCCGCGUGCGGGAUGAAGGCCUUCGGGUUGUAAACCGCUUUCAGCAGGGAAGAAGCGAAAGUGACGGUACCUGCAGAAGAAGCACCGGCUAACUACGUGCCAGCAGCCGCGGUAA
rnacentral:rRNA from 1 species